UACGUAGGGUGCAAGCGUUGUCCGGAAUUAUUGGGCGUAAAGAGCUCGUAGGCGGUUUGUCGCGUCUGCCGUGAAAGUCCGGGGCUCAACUCCGGAUCUGCGGUGGGUACGGGCAGACUAGAGUGAUGUAGGGGAGACUGGAAUUCCUGGUGUAGCGGUGAAAUGCGCAGAUAUCAGGAGGAACACCGAUGGCGAAGGCAGGUCUCUAGGCAUUAACUGACGCUGAGGAGCGAAAGCAUGGGGAGCGAACAGG
rnacentral:rRNA from 1 species